rnacentral:rRNA from 1 species
ACCAGCAGCCAUAUCACCCUGCAACUCACAACUGGUAACCCACUGAAGCUAAGCAGGUGUGAGCCUGGUCAGUACCUGGAUGGAGACCUCCUGGGAAAAAACGAAGGUUGCUGCUGGAA